GUGGGGAAUUUUGGACAAUGGGCGCAAGCCUGAUCCAGCAAUGCCGCGUGCAGGAAGAAGGCCUUCGGGUUGUAAACUGCUUUUGUACGGAACGAAACGGUCCUGGCUAAUAUCCGGGGCUAAUGACGGUACCGUAAGAAUAAGCACCGGCUAACUACGUGCCAGCAGCCGCGGUAAUACGUAGGGUGCGAGCGUUAAUCGGAAUUACUGGGCGUAAAGCGUGCGCAGGCGGUGCUGUAAGACAGGCGUGAAAUCCCCGGGCUCAACCGGGGAAUUGCGCUUGUGACUGCAGUGCUGGAGUGCGGCAGAGGGGGGUGGAAUUCCGCGUGUAGCAGUGAAAUGCGUAGAUAUGCGGAGGAACACCGAUGGCGAAGGCAAUCCCCUGGGCCUGCACUGACGCUCAUGCACGAAAGCGUGGGGAGCAAACAGGAUUAGAAACCCUUGUAGUCC
rnacentral:rRNA from 1 species